rnacentral:rRNA from 1 species
GACGGCAGCACAGAGGAACUUGUUCCUUGGGUGGCRAGUGGCGGACGGGUGAGUAAUGUAUCGGAACGUGCCCAGUAGUGGGGGAUAACUACGCGAAAGCGUGGCUAAUACCGCAUAUUCUCUACGGAGGAAAGGGGGGGAUCAUUUGACCUCUCGCUAUUGGAGCGGCCGAUAUUAGAUUAGCUAGUUGGUGGGGUAACGGCCUACCAAGGCGAUGAUCUAUAGCUGGUUUGAGAGGACGACCAGCCACACUGGGACUGAGACACGGCCCAGACUCCUACGGGAGGCAGCAGUGGGGAAUUUUCGACAAUGGGGGGAACCCUGAUCGAGCCAUCCCGCGUGUGGGACGAAGGCCUUCGGGUUGUAAACCACUUUUCUCAACGAAGAAAAGCCUUAGACUAAUACUCUGAGGUGCUGACGGUAGUUGAGGAAUAAGCACCGGCUAACUAUGUGCCAGCAGCCGCGGUAAUACAUAGGGUGCAAGCGUUAAUCGGAAUUACUGGGCGUAAAGGGUGCGCAGGCGGCUUGGAAAGAACGGUGUGAAAUCCCGGGGCUCAACCCCGGAACUGCACUAUUAACUAUCAAGCUAGAGUAUGUCAGAGGGGGGUGGAAUUCCGCGUGUAGCAGUGAAAUGCGUAGAUAUGCGGAGGAACACCAAUGGCGAAGGCAGCCCCCUGGGAUAAUACUGACGCUCAGGCACGAAAGCGUGGGUAGCAAACAGGAUUAGAUACCCUGGUAGUCCACGCCCUAAACGAUGUCAACUAGCUGUUGGGCCGGUUACGGCUUAGUAGCGCAGCUAACGCGUGAAGUUGACCGCCUGGGGACUACGGUCGCAAGACUAAAACUCAAAGGAAUUGACGGGGACCCGCACAAGCGGUGGAUGAUGUGGAUUAAUUCGAUGCAACGCGAAAAACCUUACCUACCCUUGAMAUGCCUGGAA